rnacentral:rRNA from 1 species
CAGUCGAACGGAAACGAUAGGAGCUUGCUCCUAGGCGUCGAGUGGCGGACGGGUGAGUAACGCGUGGGAACCUACCCAGUAGAGGGGGAUAGCCCGAAGAAAUUCGGAUUAAUACCGCAUAUGUUUUACGGAACAAAGGUGGCCUCUACCUGUAAGCUAUCGCUACUGGAUGGGCCCGCGUUGGAUUAGCUAGUUGGUAGGGUAAAAGCCUACCAAGGCGACGAUCCAUAGCUGGUUUGAGAGGAUGAUCAGCCACAUCGGGACUGAGACACGGCCCGGACUCCUACGGGAGGCAGCAGUGGGGAAUAUUGGACAAUGGGCGCAAGCCUGAUCCAGCAAUGCCGCGUGUGUGAAGAAGGCCUGAGGGUUGUAAAGCACUUUCAAUAGUGAAGAAAAGAUUAAGGUGAAUAAUCUUGAUCCUUGACGUUAACUUUAGAAGAAGCACCGGCUAACUCCGUGCCAGCAGCCGCGGUAAUACGGAGGGUGCAAGCGUUAAUCGGAAUUACUGGGCGUAAAGGGUACGUAGGCGGUUGUCUAAGUCAGAUGUGAAAUCCCUGGGCUUAACCUAGGAACUGCAUCUGAUACUGGACGGCUAGAGUUUGAGAGAGGAAUGUGGAAUUUCCGGUGUAGCGGUGAAAUGCAUAGAGAUCGGAAGGAACAUCAGUGGCGAAGGCGGCAU